rnacentral:RNase_P_RNA from 1 species
ACCGCAGAUCGCUCUGUCGCCUUUCGGGGAGGAAAGUCCGGACAACACAGAGCACCGCACCGUCUAACCGACGGGGCCCCGCCGAAAGGCUGGGUACAGAAAGUGUCGCAGAAAAUUACCGCCGCAUGCCGGUUUUCCGGCCGCGGUAAGGGUGAAAACGUGCGGUAAGAGCGCACGACCGGAGCGGGCAACCGCCCCGGGGGAUAAACCUUGCGGGUUGAAAUGCCAUGUACACCUUGUAAAUGUGUGGCUCGCACAGCCUCUUUCGCUUCGGCGAUUGAGGGCAAGGGGGGUAGGCAGCGCAGAUUCCGUUUCGCACGGAACCAGAUAAAUGACAGAGGCUUCGUGAAAACGAAGUACAGAAUCCGGCUUAUAGAUCUGCGGUUUUU